rnacentral:rRNA from 1 species
CAGCAGCCGCGGUAAUACGGAGGGUGCAAGCGUUGUUCGGAAUUACUGGGCGUAAAGGGCGUGUAGGUGGUACGGCAAGUCGGAUGUGAAAUCUCAUGGCUUAACCAUGAAACUGCAUUCGAAACUGCCGAACUUGAGUUCGGGAGAGGGAAGUGGAAUUCCCAGUGUAGAAGUGAAAUUCGUAGAUAUUGGGAGGAACACCGGUAGCGAAGGCGACUUCCUGGCCCGACACUGACACUGAUACGCGAAAGCGUGGGUAGCAAACAGGAUUAGAUACCCUGGUAGUCCACGCUGUAAACGAUGGAUACUUGGUGUGGGGAGAAUUGACCCUCUCUGCGCCGGAGCUAACGCGUUAAGUAUCCCGCCUGGGGAGUACGGUCGCAAGACUAAAACUCAAAGGAAUUGACGG